rnacentral:hammerhead_ribozyme from 1 species
ACGCGAAACGCCCUGAUCGGGCGUCUGCAGACAUGGCACCCCUGCACUGAUGAGCAGCCACUA